CAGUUUUCCAGAAUUGAUUCUCAGGGAUUUGGAGACAUGGUACAGUACUUUCUGAGCAGUGUUCCUUGCUUAGGAAUUUCCUUUCCCUGCUGGUUUGACAAUAAAUGGAUUGGUGAACCUUUAGAAGAAAUGGACAAGCUGGUCCUAAAAUUCGUAUGAGUUGCAAAGACUACAAAAUAGCUAAAACAUCUUGAACAAAACAAAAGUUGGAGGACUCACACCUUGAUUGUAAAGCUUACCAUAAAGCUUCAAUAAUCAAAACAGCAGUACUGGCAUAAGGAUAGGCAUAUAUAGAUCAAUGAAAUUGAGUGGAGAAUCUAGAAAUAAAUGAUACAUUUGUGGUCAGGUGAUUUUUGACAAGGGUGCUGUGAUGGUUAGUCUUAUGUUUCAACUUGACUAGGCUAUGAAGCCUGGUUGUUUGGUCAAACCCUGGUCUAGAUAUUGCUGGGAAGGUAUUGUGGAUGUCAGUAACAUUUACAAUAGUUGAUCCAAGUAAAGCAGAUUACCCUCAGUAUGUGAGUGGGUCUCAUUCAACCAGUGGAAGGCCUGGACAGCAAAGACAGGUUUACAGAAGAAGAAGCAAUUCUGCUUCAAGACGGCAACAUAAGAAAGCUUGCUACUUGAUCUGCAAAGUUCAGGCUCUAGAUUACAAAAUCAACGUUUAUCUGAAUUUCCACUUGUUGGCCUGCCCUACAAUUUCAGACAUGCCAGGCCUGACAAUCGUGGUAGCUAAUUCCUUAAGAUAAAUCUCUCUAUAAUGUAUGCUAAUGGUUCUCUGGAGAAUGCUGAUAUAUACAGGUACCAAGACCAUUCAAUGUGAAAGAACACUCUUUUUUUUAACAAAGAUUGCCGGUACAACUUGAUAUUAUCUUUUGCAUGAUAUCCACGUGGAAAAGAAUGAAAUGGACUGCUAGCUUGCACAGUGUGUAGACCUCAAAAUGAAGCAUGGAUCUAAAUGUGGGAGCUAAAACUAUCACAUUCUUGGAAGAAAACAUGAGAUCAAAUUUUCAUGGCCUUGAAUUAAGCAUUGGUUUCUUAGAUGUGACACCAAAAUCACAAAAAGACAAAGAAAAAAAAAAAAAACAGAUACAACUUUUGUGCUUGCAAGGAAACCAUCAAGAAAAUUAAAAGACAAUCCAUAGAAUGGGAGAAAUAUUUGCAAAUCAUAUAGCUGUUAAGAGACUUACAUCAGAAUGUAUAAAGAACUAUACAACUCUAUAGCCAAAAAACCCCCCAAAACUAAUAAAUGAGCAGAAUAUUUGAAUAGACACUCCACCAAAGAAGAUAUAUGGAUACCGAUAGCUUUAAGUACAUUAAAAGAUGAUCAACAUCCUUAAUUAUUAGGGAAAUGUAUAAUGAGGUACCAUUUCAUACCACAAGGAUGACUGUAAUAAAAAGGAUAAUAGCAAGUUCUGGUGGAAAGAUUGGUGUAGAAACUGGAGCCCUCGUACCCUGCUGAUGGGAAUGUAAAAUGGAGCAGUCGAUUUGCAAAACAGUCUGACAGUUCUUUAGAAGUUAAACAGAACUACUAUAUGACUCAGCAAUUCUACUGAAGUAUAUCCUUGAGAGAAAUGGAAAUGUAUAUCUACACAAAACUUGUACAUGAAUGGUCAUAGCAACAUUAUGCAUAAUAGCCAAAAAGAAUUAACAAUCCAAAUGUCCAUCAACCAAGGAACAGAUAAAAUGUUGCUUGUCUACACAAUGAGGUAUUAUUUGGCAAUAAAAAUAAAUGAAAUACU